GAUGAACGCUGGCGGCGUGCCUAAUACAUGCAAGUCGAGCGAACGGACGAGAAGCUUGCUUCUCUGAUGUUAGCGGCGGACGGGUGAGUAACACGUGGAUAACCUACCUAUAAGACUGGGAUAACUUCGGGAAACCGGAGCUAAUACCGGAUAAUAUUUUGAACCGCAUGGUUCAAAAGUGAAAGACGGUCUUGCUGUCACUUAUAGAUGGAUCCGCGCUGCAUUAGCUAGUUGGUAAGGUAACGGCUUACCAAGGCAACGAUGCAUAGCCGACCUGAGAGGGUGUUCGGCCACACUGGAACUGAGACACGGUCCAGACUCCUACGGGAGGCAGCAGUAGGGAAUCUUCCGCAAUGGGCGAAAGCCUGACGGAGCAACGCCGCGUGAGUGAUGAUGGUCUUCGGAUCGUAAAACUCUGUUAUUAGGGAAGAACAUAUGUGUAAGUAACUGUGCACAUCUUGACGGUACCUAAUCAGAAAGCCACGGCUAACUACGUG
rnacentral:rRNA from 1 species